GUGAGGAAUUUUCCGCAAUGGGCGAAAGCCUGACGGAGCAAUGCCGCGUGAAAGAUGAAGGCCUAUGGGUUGUAAACUUCUUUUCUCAGAAAAGAAUUAUGACGGUAUCUGAGGAAUAAGCAUCGGCUAACUCUGUGCCAGCAGCCGCGGUAAGACAGAGGAUGCAAGCGUUAUCCGGAAUGAUUGGGCGUAAAGCGUCUGUAGGUUGUUUAAAAAGUAUUCUGUCAAAGAUUAGGGCUUAACCCUAGAUAGGCAGAAUAAACUUUUAAGCUAGAGGUUGGUAGAGGCAGAGGGAAUUCCCGGUGGAGCGGUGAAAUGCGUAGAUAUCGGGAGGAACACCAAAGGCGAAGGCACUCUGCUGGGCCAAUACUAACACUGAGAGACGAAAGCGAGGGGAGCAAAUGGGAUUAGAAACCCGAGUAGUCC
rnacentral:rRNA from 1 species